GCCGAAAAUUCCAAGAAAGUGAUGGAGCAAGAUCAAUUUUCCCUGCUUAACUCUGACCACCUAGGCAUGUUGCUGGUUAAUGUCCCUCUCACAGGUAGUAACUAUCGUUCCUGGAGCUGGUCAAUGUUAAUUGCAUUGAGGGCCAAAGACAAACUUGGUUUUGUUAAUGAUGAAUGCCAGAAAUCGGAGGAUGGAUCUCCGGAGUCUAAGAAAUGGCUCAAGGUUGAUACCAUGGUCAUUUUCUAGAUCUUAAGUUCGAUGUCAAAAGAAAUAGUUGAAGCUUUUCUGUACGCGUCAUUUACUAAAAAUCUCUGGG
rnacentral:misc_RNA from 1 species